rnacentral:tRNA from 1 species
CGGUCUUCGAGGAGGCGCUCGGCGGUUUCGAGGAUCGCCAGUUCCCGAUCGUCGCCGGAGGGGCGGGC